rnacentral:rRNA from 1 species
CCUACGGGCGGCAGCAGUGAGGAAUAUUGGUCAAUGGACGAGAGUCUGAACCAGACAAGUAGCGUGAAGGAUUACUGCCCUAUGGGUUGUAAACUUCUUUUAUAUGGGAAUAAAAUGUUCCACGUGUGGGAUUUUGUAUGUACCAUAUGAAUAAGGAUCGGCUAACUCCGUGCCAGCAGCCGCGGUAAUACGGAGGAACCGAGCGUUAUCCGGAUUUAUUGGGGUUAAAGGGAGCGUAGGUGGAUUGUUAAGUCAGUUGUGAAAGGUUGCGGCUCAACCGUAAAAUUGCAGUUGAAACUGGCAGUCUUGAGUACAGUAGAGGUGGGCGGAAUUCGUGGUGUAGCGGUGAAAUGCUUAGAUAUCACGAAGAACUCCGAUUGCGAAGGCAGCUCACUGGACUGCAACUGACACUGAGGCUCGAAAGUGUGGGUAUCAAACAGGAUUAGAUACCCGAGUAGUC